rnacentral:lncRNA from 1 species
AUCUGAACACCAGGCGUUGCAUGAAUCAUAGACGGAUUCACAUACCCGCAUUUCCAAGACGCUGGAUUAACGGAGAUGAAUCCCAUCACGAAAUCUGAAUGAGCCUCUGCGAUCUUCACGGCUGCUGCAGUGUAGUCUCCUGUAGCAAGGUUACCAGCAGAGCUCAUCUCAGCUAGCAAAAGCAGACCCUUACCACGAGGCAAACCCUGAAACCACAGGAUGACCUCAAAAUGUAAGUAAAAACGAAAGGAUCAAUGAGAAUCCGGUAACAAAUGAUUACAAAUAUACCUUCAACUUCAGGCCAUCAACGAUUCCUGGUCCUGAUACUAUGUGAGCGUUAAUGAUAUCAGCCCACUCUAAUAUUUUAAAGACGCCUCUGCAAACAAACCGCGGCAGAAAAAACUUUAUGAAAGUUUUUAUAACAGAUAUCAAUGGAGAACAAUGAGUGAACACAACGUAGAAAACUCACCCUUCAUACUGCAUUGUUACGGUGUUACCAAUGUCUGCAAACUUACGAUCCUCAAAUAUGAGAAACUUGUGCUUGUCUGCGAUCUGAAGUAACAUCAACAAUGGAUCAAUGAGUACCCUAAAGGGUUGAAAUUUCGGAAUCAAGAACAGCCAAAAUGGUAGAGCAUUAGAUGAUCUAAGCGGACCUAAAGGACUUCCAAUAUAGCACAUGAUUCAUGUUUCUAUCGUAGAGGUAACCAAACCUAUCAUAUAAUAAAGAUGUAACCAAACUUACUGCACGGAGUUUAGAGCCAAAGUCGGAGGUGAAAUCAGGCAAAAUGUCAACAUGAGUCUUCAACAUACAUAUCUCUGGUCCCACCUUCAUGAACACGAUCACAAAUAUGAGAAUCAUAUGAUUGGUCAAAAAGAAGAAUGAUUCUUUACCUUGUCUGCAAUGUCAAGCAACUCAGCAGCAGUUCCAACAUCAGCAGCUAAGCAGAGAUUAGUCUCUUUCUUCACCAUAACCUCAAACAGCUUCUUCCCCAUGGGAUUCCUACAAAGCUCCGACCUUUCCUUAAACCCUAAAACCCUAUCCUCACCCUUCACCUUCUCCACACUCGGCACACUAACCCUACGAUUCUCUUCCAAAAACCUAAUCAAACUCGCCUCAACCCCCUCUUGAAUCUUCCCCUUCUCCCUCAAAACCCUAACCAUAUCCGUCAACCUAAUCAUCGAAUGAAGCCUAAUCCCAUUCUCCUCCAGAUUCUCCCUCCCGCCCUGCUGCCUAUCGAUCAACACCACCGCGUCGCUAACCCUGAGCCCAACCGCGCGAAGAGGCGCCGCCGUCUCCAGCACGGACCCGCCGCUGGUCACCAAAUCCUCGAUGAUGAGGCAAGUCUGAUCCUUCUGGAAGACACCUUCGAUGGCUUUGGAAGUGCCGUAGUCCUUGAUCUCCUUGCGGCGCAUGAGCAUGGGGAUGUUGUUGGAGACGGAGACGACGGUGGCGAUGGGGAGGGCGGUGUAGGGGACGCCGCAGACGAGGUCGAAGGAGGUGGAGGGAGGGAGGGAGGAGAUAAGGGUAUGGGAGAUUUGGGAGAGGAGGGAGGGGUAGGAGACGAUGAGACGGAGGUCGAUGUAGACGGGGGAGUAGAUUCCGGAUUUGAGUUUGAAGUUGCCGAAUUUGACGGCGCCGAUCUCGUGGAGCUCCAGGAUUAGGGAUUCCAUCGCUGACAACAUUGUGAGGGGACUUGGCAGUGACUGAGUGCACAGUGGAGAGUGUGUGUGCGCUUUUUAUACUUUAGGUUUUGUUUUUUUUUGUUUUAUGGGAUUUUUGAUCAAUAAUCACAAAUUCUUUUUAACAUAAUUUAAAAUCAUUAAAAAAAUCAAAUUUUAGCAAAGAUGAAAUUCAUACAAUUAAUUAAAAAUUAUAUAAAUUUGGAAAAACAAUUUUUUUUUAUGUUUAAAACUAUAAAAACAUAAAUCUUGUUAUUAUGUUGUUGAGUUUAAACUUUUUAAGCAUGGAUUUAUGACAUAUCUGGUUCACAUUUAUAUUUGAUUUUACAUGUUAUUAUAGAAUAACUUAUUUUGCAACUUACUUUUAAUUCAUACUCUGAAUUAGAAACUAGUUUUUUUUAGAUUUUAAUGAAUUAACAUUUUUUUUAAGGCAUAAGAAAAUUCAAAUAUCUAUUAGAAUUCUUCUAUGUUGGAAACAAAACUGAAGAAUACAUUAAAAUUUGUAUAAAACAAGUAGGUCUGCUUCGACUAUGCACAGAGCUUCCCACCUUUUGUAUUCUUUGACUAACAGAUGUUUUUUUUUGGUGUUCGGAUUCCUUAUCUGCAGGAGAACACGAUGGGUUGAAGAAGAAACAGGUUGUGAAAGAUCACAUACAGUAAGAGCCUCUUGGGUCUUUUGUCACACGCAUAACUGAAGAAAAGAUAUUCUUGCAGUGUGAGACAUUUUUACUUCUCCUGAAAAUAGACUGAUUGUUACGAGUCUAGUAGUUAUGUUUGUCCUUGGUGAUAUGCUUACAAAUAUAAUAAGAGAUCAAAUCUGGUUUUGAAAAGAAAAUUGUAAGAGCAAACUACAUGAGUUUUCCAAAAUGUUUUCUCAUGGAAAUACGUGUAAUAAGAAAGGGUAUUCAACAAUUAAAAAAAACAAAAAGAAAACAUUUAAUUACAUGAAAGGAGUAAACAGGAGAUUGUUUCUAGCAAUGCAGAGAGAUGUUGCCUACGCUGCAGAUUUCCUCAGGCUGCUCUCUAACACCGCAAACCUAAACUGAUAGUUGACAAAAGCAACACAUGAACAUUAGUUACCAAUGAAUCUGCAUACAAGCCCCUAUAUGAACGAAUAUGAAAUGGCAUGGGACGCAAUAUUAUAUACCCUUUCUAUACUUCACAACUUUCUUUUGUUUCCUUGGGAUGCUUCAUUAACCCUCUCACCAACAGUGCUACUGGAUCCUGAGUUGGAUGCAUACCCUAAAGCAGUUGAACCUGCAGGUACAUCUUCCUCUUUUGCUUUCUGCUUAUUCAUGUGACUCUCUCUUGUGCUAGGAAAACUCCCUUUUACUUCAGUUCCCAUCUUCGAAGAAGAUGGUGAUUCUAGUCCUUCCGUAUGCUUUGCCGCAGACAUAUCAAAAGGCCUAUGAAAGAGCAAAUGAGCCACAGUUCUGUCUGUGGGAUUGGUCACAGUUUCGGUGUCUAGCAUCCCUGCAUAUCUGAAAGAACAAAAACCAAGAGCUAGCUAUGUAAACCACAUACUGUAUUGGUUUUGAUGAUGAAGUUUUAUUUAAAAUGCAAUCACGUAACAAAGAACUGCGACAGCACAUGAAAAGAGUGUUAAUGCAUAUGCUUGCAGCAUUCAGAUGGUCUUUACUGCGUAAAUUGAUUCAUUCAGAACAAUGGACAUAUGCUAAUCAUGGAUAAAUAGUUUUUCCUAUCUCACACUUAUCAUACAUAAAAGGCUACCCCACAUUCACAAAACUGUAUGUGUGUAGUUCACAUGAUCUAACUAAGAACCAUAUAUAUAUAUACCAUAUUGAUUAAUAUGCAUAGAUUUGCUUACCUAUAUCUGGAUUUUUCUUGAGGAAUAACCUCCUGGUCAUCCUGGCUAGUCUUAUUACUGUGGGGUGUAUCACUAGUGUGAUGUCUCUGACCUGCGCUAUCAGCCAAACGGAAUAAGCUAUCCCUUAUACAAGUCCUUGUUUCCAUAUCUAACUGCAGGUCAAUAAGUAGUAUUAGUUCCUUCCAACGUAAAGGCCAAUACAAAGUACUGUAGGAUUAUGGCUUCAUCUUUUUAUAACAUAACAAACCAGUUGAGUACCUUUGCUACAACAUCUUGAAGCCGAUAAAGAACCGAGAAUUCUGAUGGAUUAUCAACAGCAGCAGCAAAGUUUCCAGAAUCAUCUAGUUCCAGAGAUGAAUUGGGAUCAAAGGAAGGUAUUGCAGUUAGCCCUUGAAGACUAGUUUUGUCGACAAGCUGAGUAAUGGACUGAUCUGCUACAGGAACCUGGUGACGAAAUUGCUGUUGUUGUCUCUGAAUAGCAAGCAUCGCCUGCAUUUGCUGUCUGCGCCUAAGUUUUUCUAGUUUUUCCUGCGGCGUCAUUGUUGAAGGUCGUGCACAGACAUCUGUUACCGUGUUUGCAGAGAUAGCAGAAGCAGGGUUGUAGGAAGGAUGCAUCAGCUGAUUCUUGUUAACAUCAGGACAUUGGAAGGCUGAAACUACAUGCACAGCAGAAUAUGGAUUACCAAAACCAGAAGUAGCCAUGUAUUGGUUUGGCAUAUGUGGAUAAUGUGAUGUCCCAGACCCUUGAGACUCACUCCGCAGAUUGACACCCAUCAAAGUUGAUCGUGACGGUGCCAACUGGUUUACAAAUUUUCUCCUUGACCUCUGACCGUAUGGAUCUUGAAACGAUCCUGCCUCACAAGUCCCCAACAUUUCCGAAAGCUUCAUCAUUUUGUGUUGUUGAUAUGGCUGAACAGAAAGGAAAAUGAAAAGAGGUAAGACUUAAUGGAACUGUAAAAAUCACUAUGCAUAAAUAAGAAUCUAAGGGCAUCCGCAUUUGUGAGUUUCUCACCAAUUAUAUUAAUAUUUAAUUGGGGAGCCUCGUUGAAAAGCUGAGAGACUCAUGUGAAAGUCUCUCAUUACUAUGCAAUGAAUCUCUCAGUUUUUUCUACGAUACUCUCUAAUUAAAUAUUAAUAUAAUUAGUGAGAGACUCACUAAUACAGAUGGCCUUAAAAACAAACCGCAUUGAUGGAAACUAUGCAACAAUACUUUCUUUGAUUCAAUUUAUUAUAAACGUGUGGGCAAUAUCUCGAAGUCUGCAGUGCAUAGUACCUGGUCAUCAACUGAGGAUUGACUCUUAUGCUCAUGAUAUUCCUCAGCUUUUGGGGUUACACGAACUCUAGGCGCACUUUGGGAUGAUGGACCACCAUUGGUUUCUCCAGUCAAUGGAAACUGCUGGUUCUCUUGUUGCUCAAACUGAGUUCUAAUGUCCAAUCCUAGAUCUUGAGAGUCCAAAAUGGAUGGUAACGGCUUGGAUACAUCUUUAGAAGAAGACCAUAAUUCAUCUGCACCGCUGAGACUGCCAUCGCCAAAUAUAGGGACAUCACUACUGCAAAAUCACCACUUGUGAGGAUAUUGUGUUAGACAGAGAACCCAUUAGUAGGCAAUCCAGAGGUUGGUUACGCUGCAUAGCUCAAGCAGGAUGAGAAAAAGACAUACCUGAACAUUCGAUCAAGAUCAUCAAAGCUACCAAUGUUAGCCCAUCCAUACUCAUCAAAAUCACCAUGCUCUUUACUCUCAUCAGUGCUAUGAAAAAUAUCAGGGCCUUUCCCAAGUUCAGACGUUUUCUCUGGUAAAAAACAAGGCGACCACACACACAACUUUAAACAUGAUUAGAAUUUUCAAGAAACGUACCCAAGUAAAACAGCACUGUUUCAAGAAACGCACCACUUCUUGUUGAAUCAUAUCUAGCUGGCUCACUCGAACCUGGUCCUGGAUCAGCUUUUCUAGCAUUAGAUACUGAUGAGUCAGGCCAUGAGCUCAUACACUCAAUAUUUUGCCCUGAACUGCUCCCCCCCAGCUUACUAUCAUGAAGGUGAGUUGUCUUCUGCUCAGCUGGCUUAACUGCCUUAUUAGAUUCAUCGCCCUGUUCCUUCCUGUUUCUUACUUUAAAAGGCACAAUAUGGUCGCCUGUCUCUCCGUCGUCACCCCAUAUCAUAUUAGUAAGCUGAAAAAAACAGGUUAAACAACAAGGGAUCAGAGACAAGCAAGUAAUGACAUCUACAUGAAUGUAGAACAUGACGUAAGAACUCGAGACCAAGCUCAGAUAACUUGUAAAAAUUCAGAUCCUCCUUAUUCAAAGCCUAAACCUUGCUCUUGUCUGUGAAAUGGGGAUAUAAGGCUACAUAGCCAUGAAAGGUUUCAUCUACAUGCGACCAAAACUAAAACAGAGAGGAGAAGCGUGAAAAUAGAAUUUACCUCUUCGUCGUCCCAAUCAAACAUGACUAGAGAAACAGAGUCCAAUCACAGACCCCAAAUCACUCUCCUCUCUGAUUCCUCCACACAUCGCCCACUCCACCACGAUAAGAAAAAAAAAAUACCCACAAAAGAAAAAGUCGCUUAACGUAAUUCUCAAGAGUUAAAAACCGAUAAAAAAAUUAAUUAAAAUAAAAAAUUAAACCGAAAAAGAGUAAGCCUGCAAAAACCUGGAUUCAGAAUCCUUCAUGCUGUUGCUUCAUCUGGAUAAUGGGAAAAAAAAAAGGAGAGUUACUACAGAACAUGUUUGGGAAAGUGGGGCCCAUUUAGGAAGUGUCACGUGCCGAACGAGUGGCUGAGAGAGUAUGGACGGAGUUAGGAUGCCACGUCACACGAGAGUGCGUAUCUAAACAUGUGGCUGAGAGUGUGUGUCAAUAACUACGACAUUUCCACUACCCAGCUCACCACCUCUCAUUUUGACUUUCACUUGCUGAGAGCUGUUUUAUUUUCCCCGCUUUCAAAAAUAAUAAUAAUUAGAGAUACACACAAACUUAUACUAUUAUCUACUCUUAUAUUUUUCUUUAGUUUUUUAAACAAUAUAUUUUUCGUUAGUUAGUAAAUAAAAUAGUUUCGGAACUUUUAUUUGAAAGGCUGGAACCAGGGAGAUUUGGUGGGGUAGGAGUUAAUAGAGACCACUAGUAGGGGGAGGGGAGAGACUCACAGAGUGUGGAGUGUUAUACUGUUGGCCAAGCGCAUCACCACCUUUCACCAUCUGAACACCAGGCGUUGCAUGAAUCAUAGACGGAUUCACAUACCCGCAUUUCCAAGACGCUGGAUUAACGGAGAUGAAUCCCAUCACGAAAUCUGAAUGAGCCUCUGCGAUCUUCACGGCUGCUGCAGUGUAGUCUCCUGUAGCAAGGUUACCAGCAGAGCUCAUCUCAGCUAGCAAAAGCAGACCCUUACCACGAG